UACGGGGGGGGGCAAGCGUUGUUCGGAAUUACUGGGCGUAAAGGGCGCGUAGGCGGCCUGCUAAGUCGGACGUGAAAUCCCCCGGCUCAACCGGGGAACUGCGUCCGAUACUGGUGGGCUCGAAUCCGGGAGAGGGAUGUGGAAUUCCAGGUGUAGCGGUGAAAUGCGCAGAUAUCAGGAAGAACACCCGUGGCGAAGGCGGCUCUCUGGAACGCAACUGACGCUGAGACG
rnacentral:rRNA from 1 species